GGACCCCACUGCUAUCGGGGUGGGACUAAGCCAUGCGAGUUGGCGCCCUCAGCCGACGGGGAGGGCGCGGCGGACGGCUCCGUAACACGUAGCCAACCUACCCUCAGGACGGGAAUAACCCCGGGAAACUGGGGCUAAUUCCCGAUAGGUGAGGAGGCCUGGAAUGGUUCCUCACCGAAAGGGCGCCGGAACCGUGCUUCCGACGCCGCCUGAGGAUGGGGCUGCGGCCGAUCAGGUAGUUGGUGGGGUAACGGCCCACCAAGCCUAUAACCGGUACGGGCCGUGAGAGCGGGAGCCCGGAGAUGGGUACUGAGACAAGGACCCAGGCCCUACGGGGCGCAGCAGGCGCGAAAACUCCGCAAUGCGCGCAAGCGUGACGGGGCUAUCCCGAGUGCCGCCCGCUAAGGGUGGCUUUUCCCCAGUGUAAGUAGCUGGGGGAAUAAGGGGAGGGCAAGUCGGGUGUCAGCCGCCGCGGUAAUACCCGCUCCCCGAGCGGUGGGGACGAUUAUUGGGCUUAAAGCGUCCGUAGCCGGCCUAAUAAGUCUCCCGUUAAAUCCAACGGCCUAACCGUUGGACUGCGGGAGAUACUAUUAGGCUAGGGGGCGGGAGAGGCCGGCGGUAUUCCCGGGGUAGGGGUGAAAUCCUAUAAUCCCGGGAGGACCACCAGUGGCGAAGGCGGCCGGCCAGAACGCGCCCGACGGUGAGGGACGAAAGCUGGGGGGGCAAACGGGAUUAGAUACCCGGGUAGUCCCAGCUGUAAACGAUGCAGGCUAGGUGUCGGGUGGGCUUAUGCUCACCCGUGCCGAGCGAAAGCGUUAAGCCUGCCGCCUGGGGAGUACGGUCGCAAGGCUGAAACUUAAAGGAAUUGGCGGGGGGGCACCACAAGGGGUGAAUGCUGCGGUUUAAUUGGAGUCAACCCCGAGAACCUUACCGGGGGCGACAGCAGGAUGAAGGCCAGGCUGACGACCUUGCCAGACGAGCUGAGAGGAGGUGCAUGGCCGUCGCCAGUUCGUGCCGUGAGGUGUCCGGUUAAGUCCGGCAACGAACAAGACCCGCGCCCCCUGUUGCUACCGGCCUCUGCGCCGGGCACACUGGGGGGACUGCCGCCGAUAAGGCGGAGGAAGGAGCGGGCCACGGCAGGUCAGUAUGCCCCGAAUCCCCCGGGCCACACGCGAGCUGCAAUGGCAGGACAAUGGGUUCCGACCCCGAAAGGGGAGGCAAUCCCUAAACCCUGCCGUAGUUGGGAUCGAGGGCUGCAACCCGCCCUCGUGACAUGGAAUCCCUAGUAUCGCGCGUCACCGCGCGGUGAAUACGUCCCUGCUC
rnacentral:rRNA from 1 species